rnacentral:rRNA from 1 species
CCUACGGGAGGCUGCAGUGGGGAAUAUUGCACAAUGGGGGAAACCCUGAUGCAGCGACGCCGCGUGAGUGAAGAAGUAUUUCGGUAUGUAAAGCUCUAUCAGCAGGGACGAUAAUGACGGUACCUGACUAAGAAGCCCCGGCUAACUACGUGCCAGCAGCCGCGGUAAUACGUAGGGGGCAAGCGUUAUCCGGAUUUACUGGGUGUAAAGGGAGCGUAGACGGCCUGGUAAGUCAGGUGUGAAAGCCCGGGGCUCAACCCCGGGAUUGCACUUGAAACUACCAAGCUAGAGUGCAGGAGAGGUAAGUGGAAUUCCUAGUGUAGCGGUGAAAUGCGUAGAUAUUAGGAGGAACACCAGUGGCGAAGGCGGCUUACUGGACUGUAACUGACGUUGAGGCUCGAAAGCGUGGGGAGCAAACAGGAUUAGAUACCCCUGUAGUC